rnacentral:rRNA from 1 species
GUAGUCCACGCAGUAAACGAUGAUUACUAGCUGUUUGCGAUAUACAGUAAGCGGCUGAGCGAAAGCGUUAAGUAAUCCACCUGGGGAGUACGUUCGCAAGAAUGAAACUCAAAGGAAUUGACGGGGGCCCGCACAAGCGGAGGAACAUGUGGUUUAAUUCGAUGAUACGCGAGGAACCUUACCCGGGCUUGAAAUGCAUCUGACAGGAGCAGAGACGCUCUCUCCCUUCGGGGCAGAUGUGUAGGUGCUGCAUGGUUGUCGUCAGCUCGUGCCGUGAGGUGUCGGCUUAAGUGCCAUAACGAGCGCAACCCUCAUCAUUAGUUACCAUCAGGUCAAGCUGGGGACUCUAAUGAGACUGCCAUCGUAAGAUGCGAGGAAGGUGGGGAUGACGUCAAAUCAGCACGGCCCUUACGUCCGGGGCGACACACGUGUUACAAUGGGUGGUACAAAGGGCAGCUACAUGGCGACAUGAUGCUAAUCUCCAAAACCACUCUCAGUUCGGAUCGGAGUCUGCAACUCGACUCCGUGAAGCUGGAUUCGCUAGUAAUCGCGCAUCAGCCACGGCGCGGUGAAUACGUUCCCGGGCCUUGUACACACCGCCCGUCAAGCCAUGGAAGCCGGGGGUACCUGAAGUUCGUAACCGUCAAGGAGCGACCUAGGGUAAAACUGGUAACUAGGGCUAAGUCGUAACAAGGUAACC